rnacentral:rRNA from 1 species
GGGUGAGUAACGCGUGGGCAACCUGCCCUCCAGUUGGGGACAACAUUCCGAAAGGGAUGCUAAUACCGAAUGUGCUCCCUCCUCCGCAUGGAGGAGGGAGGAAAGAUGGCCUCUGCUUGCAAGCUAUCGCUGGAAGAUGGGCCCGCGUCUGAUUAGCUAGUUGGUGGGGUAACGGCUCACCAAGGCGAUGAUCAGUAGCCGGUCUGAGAGGAUGAACGGCCACAUUGGGACUGAGACACGGCCCAAACUCCUACGGGAGGCAGCAGUGGGGAAUCUUCCGCAAUGGACGAAAGUCUGACGGAGCAACGCCGCGUGAGUGAUGAAGGUCUUCGGAUUGUAAAACUCUGUUGUUAGGGACGAAAGCACCGUGUUCGAACAGGUCAUGGUGUUGACGGUACCUAACGAGGAAGCCACGGCUAACUACGUGCCAGCAGCCGCGGUAAUACGUAGGUGGCAAGCGUUGUCCGGAAUUAUUGGGCGUAAAGAGCAUGUAGGCGGGCUUUUAAGUCUGACGUGAAAAUGCGGGGCUUAACCCCGUAUGGCGUUGGAUACUGGAAGUCUUGAGUGCAGGAGAGGAAAGGGGAAUUCCCAGUGUAGCGGUGAAAUGCGUAGAUAUUGGGAGGAACACCAGUGGCGAAGGCGCCUUUCUGGACUGUGUCUGACGCUGAGAUGCGAAAGCCAGGGUAGCAAACGGGAUUAGAUACCCCGGUAGUCCUGGCCGUAAACGAUGGAUACUAGGUGUAGGAGGUAU